GAUGAAGAACUUAGCGAAAUGCGAUAAGUAAUGUGAAUUGCAGAAUUCAGUGAAUCAUCGAAUCUUUGAACGCACAUUGCGCCCGCCAGUAUUCUGGCGGGCAUGCCUGUCCGAGCGUCAUUUCAACCCUCGAACCCCUCCGGGGGGUCGGCGUUGGGGAUCGGCCCUCCCUUAGCGGGUGGCCGUCUCCGAAAUACAGUGGCGGUCUCGCCGCAGCCUCUCCUGCGCAGUAGUUUGCACACUCGCAUCGGGAGCGCGGCGCGUCCACAGCCGUUAAACACCCAACUUCUGAAAUGUUGACCUCGGAUCAGGUAGGAAUACCCGCUGAACUUAAGCAUAUCAAUAAGCGGAGGA
rnacentral:misc_RNA from 1 species